rnacentral:ncRNA from 1 species
AAAACGGCUCUUCUUCAGAGCCACCAAAAUUUAAAAAGAAUGCAAA